UGAUUGAUGAGUUGAACAGAGUCCAUCUCCCUCCUCUCAUCCUCCUCUGCCCUCUGCACUUCCUUCAUCAGGGUGACAAGUGAUGACUUGUUCUCCACUGCAGCACGUUUCUGUUGAAAAAUAUUUGAUAAGUGUCUUAUUUGUUUCAGAUUAUCAUCAGAUCAGAUUUGUCAAAUCAUACUAGAGAACUUGAUCAAUAGAUUCACUACACAAUCUCAAAGCACGUGCGAGCGAGAGCGUGGUACAAGCCGAAAAAAAAAAUUCGAAUUUCUCCCCAACAACACGUGCUCCCAGAUCGUUAUCAGAUUCAUUUUCUCACCUCUCAACUCGAGUUCCGAACCUCAUAACCAGUUGAGCUCUCGUCGAGACAACACAGCUGAGAGGAAUCAAAGGCGGUAUCUACACCUGAGAGGAAUCAAUCAUAGCAUAAUCAACUACACCUGUAUCCCGCUAUCUACACCUGUAGCCCGCUAUCUACACUCGAGGAGAUUCACGCAGCAUCAAGCACUACAUCAUUUUCUCACCUCUCAACUCGAGUUCCGAACCUCAUAACCAGUUGAGCUCUCGUCGAGACAACACAGCUGAGAGGAAUCAAAGGCGGUAUCUACACCUGAGAGGAAUCAAUCAUAGCAUAAUCAACUACACCUGUAUCCCGCUAU